rnacentral:piRNA from 1 species
UAAAGCAAGAUUCUUUUUUUUGGAGUGGG